rnacentral:rRNA from 1 species
UACGUAGGGGGCAAGCGUUGUCCGGAAUCAUUGGGCGUAAAGCGCGUGUAGGCGGCUCGGUAAGUCUGCUGUGAAAGUCCAGGGCUCAACCCUGGGAUGCCGGUGGAUACUGUCGAGCUCGAGUCCGGAAGAGGAGUGUGGAAUUCCUGGUGUAGCGGUGAAAUGCGCAGAUAUCGGGAGGAACACCAACGGCGGAAGGCAGCACUCUGGGCUGGAACUGACGCUGAGGAGCGAAAGCGUGGGUAGCAAACAGG